GAGUACUCUGUGGAGACAUAAACAGCCGAAUGGGAUUUUUCCAUGGGAGAGAACACACCCCCCCACCAGGUAAACGUGUUCCAGAGGGGGCAGCAGUCGGACCCCCCCCUAGGUAAAUGAGCUUCGUCGAAAUACUACUCUGUUAAUAAAAAUCUGCACACACAUUUCCUUUAAUUUAUUUCUGUGCACUGACAAGGUAUAGCUGAUUUCUAAUCCAUCUGUACGGAAAAGGACAUUGAAGAGGACUCUUCAGAGGUAAGACUAUAUAUAGAAUUAAAUGUACUGGGACAGUGACUCAGACCCAGUCUGCUGAAGUGCAGCUUGUCAGCUUUGAAGGUAUGUACAUCCAUAUUAUCCAUGUAGGAACUGUAGGCAUUUUUAUACAUGGUCCCCCAUUUUAGGGGGGGGGUGGGGGGUGGGGGCUGAGUUUGAAUUUGAGCGAGGGUGGUGUACUCAGAGUGUACCACCACUCAGCUACACACACACGCACACACACACACACACACGUACCCACAGAAACACUCUUUCUCUAACCCGGGUCCUGUCUGUUUUUCUGAGUGUUGCAGUGAAAGAGCGUUUGCCUGAUUGCGGGUGUCUAAUGGAUGAGGCGGUGGGACACAACGGUCAGGACUGCCCCGCUGAGCGGAUUCACCACGGCUGCACGUGAUUGGCUGGAGCCCUCUGUUGCCCCAGGUCUUCGGCCGCCACGAAGCGGAGAAGAGGUCGCCGCGAAUGCGGGCAGUGUUCCGGUUCCUCCUGUCCCGGCUCAAAGCCUGUCUGCCGGUCGGGGCAUCGCUCAAGUGGAGCGUUCGAUACCGAUCAACGGCCUUGCCAUCGCCUGGAGGGGAAUAGAUAUCUAUCUGUAGAUCACGAUGAUGAUGAAGACGAUGAUGAUCAAUUGUAAAGGUCUUCCGUAAGACUGUGAGGGCUGGGCACCGCUAGCACUAAUUAACUGUUCGUUAACAAUCGUGAAUUCAGCCUUUCAGUCCCUCAUCCUUUUGGGCCGAUUGCGAUUAUCAUUCUGGAGCCGCAAUAAUAAUAUUGUUAAUGAGAAUUACUCCCAGCUGUGUGAAUUAAUGCUCGCUAACGUGCUGCGAUAUUACUGAGAAUAAAACCUUCCUGCUGGAAUUGUUUUUAAUUGGAGCCAGGGGCUUUCUUUGUGAUUUUACUGAAGAUGCAUUGUAUUCAUUGUCCUCCAGGUGUAGCCAUUUGGAUGAAAUGGUACUAACUACAGUACUAGGUAUUAGAAUGCCAUAAGAUGUCUGUAAGAAGGGGAAUAUUGUACAUGUUUAUGUUUUAUGUAUGUAGAUAUGUCUGUAUAUUUGUAUAUGCACUGAACUGGUUGACUGAAAUGAUGUGUUUAUUUUUAUUUUAACUUAAUUUUAAUUAAUGCAUUUUAUUUGUUUUCUGUUGUGUUUCUCUGCUUGGUACACAUAUAUUCUCUAGAUUAUGUAAUUGAUUUCUGUGCAUCUGUCUUUAACAGUGUAGAUACAGUGAAGUAUGUUAAUAUACUGAAUUGUUUAUGGAAUCUAUUUUAUUUAUUUAUUUAUUUAUUUAUUUUUGUGUACAGCUGUCACAUGUACGGCCCAUCUUUCUUUAAUGGAAGUUAAUGAUAGUAAAUUAAGAGGAAGUGUUUCAGUAGAUUAAGUGCACGGCGCACUCUGCUGGAUAUAAAGUGGAAUUACAGUCGAGAAAGCGCUGAUAUUUUUUACCCAGACGGCGCACUCUGCUGGAUAAAAAGUGGAAUUACAGUCGAGAAAGCGCUGAUAUUUUUUACCCAGACUUUGUCGUUGUUUGGUACACAUUCUCUAUAUUAUUUAAGAAAUAUCUGUGUCUCUGUGUCUGACAAUUUAGAUACAGUAAGAGUGUGAUGUAUGUUCAUAUACUGUAUUGUACUCUUCGCACAAAUUGUAUUCCUUUAUAUAUAAUCUCGCUUUUAAGCUCUUCACAGUACUAAUAUUUAAGCUGUUUGUGAAAUCUAUUAUUAUUAUUAUUAUUAUUAUUAUUAUUAUUAUUAUGUAGAGCUCUCAAAUGUACGAACCAUCUUUCUUUAGUGGGAGUUACUGGGGGUAAAUUAAGGGGAAGUGUGUCAGUAGAAUAAGUGCACGGCGCAACAGGGGAGGGAUUUGCCUCCCUCUGCUGGAUAAAAAGUGCAAUUACAGUCGAGAAAGUCUAGGUAAAAAAUAUCAGCGCUUUGUCGUUGUGUGGUACACAUUCUCUAGAUUAUUUAAGAAGUAUCUGUGUCUCUGUGUCUGACAAUUUAGAUACAGUAAGAGUGUGAUGUAUGUUCAUAUACUAUAUUGUACUCUUUGCACAAAUUGUAUUCCUUUAUGUAUGAUCGCGCUUUUAAGUUCUUCACAGUCCUAAUAAUUAAGCUGUUUGGGAAAUCUAUUUUAUUAUUAUUAUUAUUAUUAUUAUUAUUAUUAUUAGUAUUAUGUUAUAGAGCUGUCAAAUGUAAGGCCCAUCUUUCUUUAAUGGGAGUUAAUGGGAGUAAAUUAAGGGGAAGUGUUUCAGUAGAAUAAGUGCACGACACAACAGGGGAGGGAUUUGCCUCCCUCUGCUGGAUAAAAAAUGGAAUUACAGUCGAGAAAGUCUAGGUAAAAAAUAUCAGCGCUCUGUCGUUAUGUUCAUGUCAAUUUUUCAGUAUGGUUGUCAAAUGAAAGUGGAUUUUCAAUGUUGCCCACAGAUUGCCUUCUGUGGACAAAAAAUAAAUAAAAUAUAAUCUUCUGAAACAAA